CUACGUGCCAGCAGCCGCGGUAAUACGGAGGGUGCGAGCGUUAAUCGGAAUAACUGGGCGUAAAGGGCACGCAGGCGGUGACUUAAGUGAGGUGUGAAAGCCCCGGGCUUAACCUGGGAAUUGCAUUUCAUACUGGGUCGCUAGAGUACUUUAGGGAGGGGUAGAAUUCCACGUGUAGCGGUGAAAUGCGUAGAGAUGUGGAGGAAUACCGAAGGCGAAGGCAGCCCCUUGGGAAUGUACUGACGCUCAUGUGCGAAAGCGUGGGGAGCAAACAGGAUUAGAUACCCUGGUAGUCCACGCUGUAAACGAUGUCGAUUUGGGGGUUGAGCUUUAAGUUUGGCGCCCGUAGCUAACGUGAUAAAUCGACCGCCUGGGGAGUACGGCCGCAAGGUUAAAACUCAAAGAAAUUGACGGGGGCCCGCACAAGCGGCGGAGCAUGCGGAUUAAUUCGAUGCAACGCGAAGAACCUUACCAAGGCUUGACAU
rnacentral:rRNA from 1 species